AGUGCCUACUGCACCCACCUCUGGUGGCCCUAAGCCCAGCACAGCUUCAGCAGUUCCUGAAUUAGCUACAGAUCCUGAGUUAGAGAAGAAGUUGCUACACCACCUCUCUGAUCUGGCCUUAACAUUGCCCACUGAUGCUGUGUCCAUCUGUCUUGCCAUCUCCACGGUAAUGACCUGACAGAGUUAGGAUUUACAACUUAUUUUCAGUUCACGGUCAGUGUCUUAUUGCCCAUACCUCCCCUCCUUCUCUAGCCAGAUGCUCCUGCCACUCAAGAUGGGGUAGAAAGCCUCCUGCAGAAAUUUGCAGCUCAGGAGUUGAUUGAGGUCAAGCGAGGUCUCCUACAAGAUGAUGCACAUCCUACUCUUGUGACCUAUGCUGACCAUUCCAAGCUCUCUGCCAUGAUGGGUGCUGUGGCAGAAAAGAAGGGCCCUGGGGAGGUAGCAGGGACUGUCACAGGGCAGAAGCGGCGUGCAGAACAGGACUUAACUACAGUAGCUGCCUUUGCCAGUUCGUUAGUCUCCGGUCUGAACUCUUCAGCAUCGGAACCAGCAAAGGAGCCAGCCAAGAAAUCAAGGAAACAUGCUGCCUCAGAUGUUGAUCUGGAGAUAGAGAGCCUUCUGAACCAACAGUCCACUAAGGAACAACAGAGCAAGAAGGUCAGUCAGGAGAUCCUAGAGCUAUUAAAUACUACAACAGCCAAGGAACAAUCCAUUGUUGAAAAAUUUCGCUCUCGAGGUCGGGCCCAAGUGCAAGAAUUCUGUGACUAUGGAACCAAGGAGGAGUGCAUGAAAGCCAGUGAUGCUGAUCGACCCUGUCGCAAGCUGCACUUCAGACGAAUUAUCAAUAAACACACUGAUGAGUCUUUAGGUGACUGCUCUUUCCUUAAUACAUGUUUCCACAUGGAUACCUGCAAGUAUGUUCACUAUGAAAUUGAUGCUUGCAUGGAUUCUGAGGCCCCUGGCAGCAAAGACCACACGCCAAGCCAGGAGCUUGCUCUUACACAGAGUGUUGGAGGUGAUUCCAGUGCAGACCGACUCUUCCCACCUCAGUGGAUCUGUUGUGAUAUCCGCUACCUGGACGUCAGUAUCUUGGGCAAGUUUGCAGUUGUGAUGGCUGACCCACCCUGGGAUAUUCACAUGGAACUGCCCUAUGGGACCCUGACAGACGAUGAGAUGCGCAGGCUCAACAUACCUGUACUACAGGAUGAUGGCUUUCUCUUCCUCUGGGUCACAGGCAGGGCCAUGGAGUUGGGGAGAGAAUGUCUAAACCUCUGGGGGUAUGAACGGGUAGAUGAAAUUAUUUGGGUGAAGACAAAUCAACUGCAACGCAUCAUUCGGACAGGCCGUACAGGUCACUGGUUGAACCAUGGGAAGGAACACUGCUUGGUUGGUGUCAAAGGAAAUCCCCAAGGCUUCAACCAGGGUCUGGAUUGUGAUGUGAUCGUAGCUGAGGUUCGUUCCACCAGUCAUAAACCAGAUGAAAUCUAUGGCAUGAUUGAAAGACUGUCUCCUGGCACUCGCAAGAUUGAGUUAUUUGGACGACCGCACAAUGUGCAACCCAACUGGAUCACCCUUGGAAACCAACUGGAUGGGAUCCACCUACUAGACCCAGAUGUGGUUGCACGGUUCAAGCAAAGGUACCCAGAUGGUAUCAUCUCUAAACCUAAGAAUUUAUAGAAGCACUUCCUUACAGAGCUAAGAAUCCAUAGCCAUGGCUCUGUAAGCUAAACCUGAAGAGUGAUAUUUGUACAGUAGCUUUCUUCUUUAUUUAAAUAAACAUUUGUAUUGU
rnacentral:sRNA from 1 species